UACAGAGGUCUCAAGCGUUGUUCGGAUUCAUUGGGCGUAAAGGGUGCGUAGGUGGCGAGGUAAGUCGGAUGUGAAAUCCUGGGGCUCAACCCUAGAACUGCAUUCGAUACUGCUUUGCUCGAGUACUGGAGAGGAGAUUGGAAUUUAUGGUGUAGCAGUGAAAUGCGUAGAUAUCAUAAGGAAGACCAGUGGCGAAGGCGGAUCUCUGGACAGUUACUGACACUGAGGCACGAAGGCCAGGGGAGCAAACGGG
rnacentral:rRNA from 1 species